CAAAGUCACACACCACUGCCUGCUAAUGGAUGAUAAGACGGGGAAAACCUACUCCAUGGCAUCACAACAGACUGCCCGGCUCCUGUCUUGGAUGUCCAUCAAUUGCAUCCUCCAGGCGUCGGCCACCUGCUGCUAAGCCUUUGCCCCACAGGUGACCUUGUGAAAAGACAACUUUCCGCCCUGACCUCCUAUCCAGGCGAGUCAGACGGAUAGCUGAUGCCGCACUCUCAACGACACCCAUAAAAGAAAGGCUCUGAUGGCAAGCUGGCAGCUAAGAACUUACUGGCAAGCUUAAGGUUCGAGCAUCCCGACGAGCUGCUGCCGG